CUUGAGCAGGCAGAGUUUAUACCACAGCUGGAGGAAGCCCUUGGCCUCAGAGUUGCAGUUGCUGGCAUUUGGCAGUAGGAACUUGGAGGCUGGGCCUGCAGGGACAUGUUAGGGAGAUAUGGGAGGGGAACUGAUGGCACGUUCUGUGAGUACCUUUAGAGUUCAAGUCAGGUAUCACCUACUUUGGGAAGCACUCCAUGGCCCCUCAUUUGUUUCUCCCCUCGUGAGUUGAGUGUCUCUCAGCUUUGCUCCCACCUACCCACACGUCACUGUAUUUAACUGUCUGCAUCUCUCCUGCUAAACUCUGAGCCCACUGGAGACAUGGACCCGGACUUCCAUCACUGUAGCUCUGUGGUACCUAGAAGAAGAAAUGACCCAGAGAGAAUCUGGCACAUGUCAUCCAUCUCCCGUAGCUGCUGAGUGACAUGGAAUAUACAUAAAGCAUCAUCAAAAAGAACAGGAGAAGAGGAAAAGGGAAAAACAGCACCCAGAAAACUUGGAGCCUCAUGCUUUUAAAAGCUUAUUUGAAACCCAUUCAUCCUUCUAGCCAGCCAUCCAUCCAACCAAUAAAAGCACACUUGUUGAAGUAUUUAAUUUGUCCAAGUACCUAGGAGAGGUCCUGUGGGGAUGCAGCCAUGAAUCUGAUAAAACACUAUUGUGGAGGCUGAGUAUCAACUUCCUGGGCUCUUGACUAUUUGCUUUACCUAUUUUUGAGGGCACUUCUCACAUCUUCAC